GAUGAACGCUGGCGGCGUGCCUAAUACAUGCAAGUCGAGCGAACGGACGAGAAGCUUGCUUUUCUGAUGUUAGCGGCGGACGGGUGAGUAACACGUGGAUAACCUACCUAUAAGACUGGGAUAACUUCGGGAAACCGGAGCUAAUACCGGAUAAUAUCUUGAACCGCAUGGUUCAAAAGUGAAAGACGGUCUUGCUGUCCCUUAUAGAUGGAUCCGCUCUGCAUUAGCUAGUUGGUAAGGUAACGGCUUACCAAGGCAACGAUGCAUAGCCGACCUGAGAGGGGGAUCGGCCACACGGGAACGGAGACACGGUCCAGACUCCUACGGGAGGCACCAGUAGGGAAUCCUCCGCAAUGGGCGAAAGCCUGACGGAGCAACGCCGCGUGAGUGAUGAAGGUCUUCGGAUCGUAAAACUCUGUUAUUAGGGAAGAACAUAUGUGUAAGUAACUGUGCACAUCUUGACGGUACCUAAUCAGAAAGCCACGGCUAACUACGUG
rnacentral:rRNA from 1 species